rnacentral:lncRNA from 1 species
UAUUGACAGUAUUAACUAAUUCCGAUUAUUUUGCAUUAGUUAAUGUUAUGACAAACGCACAAACGGAAACAAAAUGACGAAUACGAAACAAUCAAACCACAAGCAGAAAAUAAGAAGAACACAUAGAUUUACGUGAAAAAUUCUUUGCAGGAAAAAAUCACGGGCGAGGGAGGAGAGAACUUCACUAGCGAACGAAAAAGAAAAUACAAUGUUCAGAUGAUACAACCAACCACGAUCUCACGCCUCUAGGGCAAAAACGAAGAGGAAAACUCUUAACGGGUUUCGAAUUCGGCCUGUCGGCCUGAGCCCUCCGCUAUCCAUCACAGACAUUCAUUUUUCCUUCACAAUUUUACUUUUCCAAUUUGGUCGCACCGCGAAGCUGUUGACGAGUCGAAAAUUCGAAUUUGAGUCGAUUAUCAAUUUCGAGUCACAUCUAACAGUUAAUACGGCCAACAUGUUUGCUCACAAAAU